rnacentral:rRNA from 1 species
UACGGAGGGUGCAAGCGUUACUCGGAAUCACUGGGCGUAAAGCGCGCGCAGGCGGUCUUUUAAGUUGGAUGUGAAAGCCUACGGCUCAACCGUAGAACUGCAUCCAAAACUAUUAGACUAGAGUGUGGGAGAGGAAGAUGGAAUUAGUUGUGUAGGGGUAAAAUCCGUAGAGAUAACUAGGAAUACCAAAAGCGAAGGCAAUCUUCUGGAACACUACUGACGCUGAGGCGCGAAAGCGUGGGGAGCAAACAGGAUUAGAUACCCCGGUAGUCC